rnacentral:tRNA from 1 species
GGUGCUGUGGCUUAGUGGGUUAAAGCACCUGUUUUGUAAAUAGGAGGUCCUGAAUUCAAAUCCCAGUGGUGUUU